AAACAUUACUACGUCCAGAAAUCGGAAACAUAAAUUGAAAAUAAUACAUUUCAUACAUUUUCCGGGUUUUCUACAUUGUUCCCGGUUUUUUCCAACUAUUAUGAAAACCGCUUGAAAAAUCAAAAAAAAAAAAUCAAAAAAUAACCUCCCUAAAGUAUCGAGUAAAUAAAAUUUCCAUUCAGAAAAGACUACGCUACGCUUGAUGUAUCGGAUGCAAGAUUUCCGGUAGAAAAG